rnacentral:rRNA from 1 species
UACGGAGGGUCCGAGCGUUAUCCGGAAUCAUUGGGUUUAAAGGGUCCGUAGGCGGAUCAGUAAGUCAGGGGUGAAAGUUUGCGGCUCAACCGUAAAAUUGCCUUUGAUACUGCUGGUCUUGAGUUACGAUGAAGUGGCCGGAAUAUGUGGUGUAGCGGUGAAAUGCAUAGAUAUCACAUAGAACACCGAUUGCGAAGGCAGGUCACUAAUCGUAUACUGACGCUGAUGGACGAAAGCGUGGGGAGCAAACGGGAUUAGAUACCCCGGUAGUCCACGCCGUAAACGAUGGACACUAGCUGUCGGGCUUUAUAGUUCGGCGGCCAAGCGAAAGUGAUAAGUGUCCCACCUGGGGAGUACGUUCGCAAGAAUGAAACUCAAAGGAAUUGACGGGGGCCCGCACAAGCGGUGGAGCAUGUGGUUUAAUUCGAUGAUACGCGAGGAACCUUACCAGGGCUUAAAUGUAGUGGGACAGGCUUAGAGAUAGGCUUUUCUUCGGACUCAUUACAAGGUGCUGCAUGGUUGUCGUCAGCUCGUGCCGUGAGGUGUCAGGUUAAGUCCUAUAACGAGCGCAACCCUUACCGUUAGUUGCCAGCGAGUAGAGUCGGGGACUCUAACGGGACUGCCGGUGCAAACCGUGAGGAAGGUGGGGAUGACGUCAAAUCAUCACGGCCCUUACGUCCUGGGCUACACACGUGCUACAAUGGCCGGUACAAUGAGCAGCCACUUCGCAAGAAGGCGCGAAUCUAUAAAACCGGUCACAGUUCGGAUCGGGGUCUGCAACCCGACCCCGUGAAGCUGGAAUCGCUAGUAAUCGGAUAUCAGCCAUGAUCCGGUGAAUACGUUCCCGGGCCU